CCUACGGGAGGCAGCAGUGGGGAAUCUUGCGCAAUGGGCGAAAGCCUGACGCAGCCAUGCCGCGUGAAUGAUGAAGGUCUUAGGAUUGUAAAAUUCUUUCAGUAGGGACGAUAAUGACGGUACCUACAGAAGAAGCCCCGGCUAACUUCGUGCCAGCAGCCGCGGUAAUACGAAGGGGGCUAGCGUUGCUCGGAAUUACUGGGCGUAAAGGGAGCGUAGGCGGGUUAUCAAGUUGGAGGUGAAAGCCCAGGGCUCAACCUUGGAAUUGCCUUCAAAACUGAUAGCCUAGAGUAUGAUAGAGGUAUGUGGAACUCCGAGUGUAGAGGUGAAAUUCGUAGAUAUUCGGAAGAACACCAGUGGCGAAGGCGACAUACUGGGUCAUGACUGACGCUGAGGCUCGAAAGCGUGGGGAGCAAACAGGAUUAGAUACCCUGGUAGUCCACGCUGUAAACGAUGAUUGCUAGUUGUCGGACGGCAUGCCGUUCGGUGACGCNGCUACGACAUAGACAUCCGCCGCGGGUAGGUACGGUCGCGAGAAUAAACUAACGAAGAAGUAGACGGCGNGAGACGUGCCGACGACGACGACGAGGGAGGAGG
rnacentral:rRNA from 1 species